AAUCUGGUUGAUCCUGCCAGAGGCGACCGCUAUUGGAGUUCGAUUAAGCCAUGCGAGUCGAGAGUCUUAGGGACUCGGCAUACUGCUCAGUAACACGUGGAUAACCUGCCCUACGCUGGGGAAUAACCUCGAGAAAUUGAGAAUAAUACCCCAUAAGCCACAAUGCCUGGAAAGGUUUGUGGUUGAAAGCUCCGGCGGCGUAGGAUGGGUCUGCGGCGUAUCAGGUUGUAGUGGGUGUAAUGUACCUACUAGCCUUCAACGCGUACGGGUUGUGGGAGCAAUCGCCCGGAGAUGGAUUCUGAGACACUAAUCCAGACCCUACGGGGUGCAGCAGGCGCGAAAACUUCACACUGCAGGAAACUGUGAUGAGGGAACUCCAAGUGGUACCACGAAUGUGGUAUCCUUUUCUUGACUCUUAAUAGGUCUUGGAAUAAGGGGUGGGAAAGACCGGUGCCAGCCGCCGCGGUAAUACCGGCACCUCAAGUGGUCGUCGCUUUUAUUGGGCCUAAAACGUCCGUAGCCGGUUUGGUAAACCCGUGGGUAAAUCAACCAGCUUAACUGGUUGAAUUCUGCGGAGACUGCCAAACUUGGAACCGGGAGAGGUGUGGGGAACUCUUGGGGUAGGGGUAAAAUUUGUUUAUCCCAAGGGGACCACCUGUUGCGAAGGCGCCACACUAGAACGGAUUCGACGGUCAGGGACGAAGCCUAGGGGCACGAACCGGAUUAGAUACCCGGGUAGUCCUAGGUGUAAACGCUGUGGACUUGGUGUCGGGAGUCCCUUGAGGGCCUCCGGUGCCGCAGCGAAGGUGUUAAGUCCACUGCCUGGGGAGUACGGUCGCAAGGCUGAAACUUAAAGGAAUUGGCGGGGGAGCACUGCAACGGGAGGAGCGUGCGGUUUAAUUGGAUUCAACGCCGGAAAACUCACCAGAGCCGACUGUCAGAUGAAAGCCAGCGUAAUGAGCUUGCUGGAUUGUCAGAGAGGUGGUGCAUGGCCGUCGUCAGUUCGUACCGUAAGGCGUUCUGUUAAGUCAGAUAACGAACGAGACCCUCAUCCUCAUUUGCUACUCUAGUCGCAAGAUUAGAGGCACUAUGGGGAGACCGCUUGAUGUGAAAUCAGAGGAAGGCGAGGGCAACGGUAGGUCAGUAUGCCCCGAAUGCUCUGGGCUACACGCGCGCUACAAAGGACGGGACAAUGGGAAGCCACGCCGAGAGGCGGAGCUAUCCCGAAACCCGUUCAUAGUUCGGAUUGAGGGCUGUAACUCGCCCUCAUGAAGCUGGAUUCCGUAGUAAUCGUGUUUCAAAAUAGCACGGUGAAUAUGCCCCUGCUCCUUGCACACACCGCCCGUCAAACCAUCUUAGUUGGGGAUGGGUGAGGCUGCGUUUUUUGGCGCAUUCGAGCCUGUCUUCGACAAGGAGGGUUAAGUCGUAACAAGGUAUCUGUAGGGGAACCUGCAGAUGGAUCACCUCCU
rnacentral:rRNA from 1 species